rnacentral:rRNA from 1 species
UACGUAGGGUGCAAGCGUUAAUCGGAAUUACUGGGCGUAAAGCGUGCGCAGGCGGUUCUGAAAGUCAGCUGUGAAAGCCCCGGGCUUAACCUGGGAAUGGCGGUUGGAACUACAGGACUAGAAUCUGGCAGAGGGGGGUGGAAUUCCACGUGUAGCAGUGAAAUGCGUAGAGAUGUGGAGGAACACCGAUGGCGAAGGCAGCCCCCUGGGCUGAGAUUGACGCUCAGGCACGAAAGCGUGGGGAGCAAACAGG